GAGCGCGCGGAGCAGCUGGGGCCGGGGCGCGGAUGCUGGAAGUUCACAUCCCGUCGGUGGGGCCCGAGGCCGAGGGGCCCAGGCAGAGCCCGGAGAAAAGCCACAUGGUGAGCGCGGCCCCUGGAUGGGGAGGGGCGCCGGGACCCGCAGGAUUUCCCCGCGCUGCGCUCAGUGGGGACCCGGGGCCCGGGCCUGGGUGAACGAGCGCUGCGGGCUGGACCGUCGGGGGAAACCUUGUCGAGGGUUUGGGGGCCGCUUGGAUUUGCCAGCCUCGCGGACCGUGGUUCGAGCUCUUGAGGGACCCCAGGGCUCCGAGGGGCAGGUCCGCCAGCCCGUUCUCCCAGGUGUGCGGGAGCGGAGAGUCCCCGGGCAGCCGCGGCGCCGCAAGGCCGCUUUGUGCCUUUGAGAGCGGGAGGGUGGGCACGUCGCCAGGCGCAGGUGCUGCGGCGUCCUCCCGCGGGGCCUCACGCGCAGACCCGCUGCCCGCCCGCGCCGCCAGGUGUUCCGAGUGGAGGUGCUGUGCAGCGGGCGCAGACACACGGUGCCGAGGCGCUACAGCGAGUUCCACGCGCUGCACAAGCGGGUGAGGCGGCGCCGACCUCCCACCGGCCCCGGCCCAGCCUCUGUCCAGUCCCCGCCCAGGCCCUGUGAGGCGGGCGGGCGAGCUCCAGCCCCAGCCUCCGCCACCCCCAUUACUGCCUCAGUCCCUGCGCAGCCGGUCAGCCCCCGGGCCUCUGUGGGUGGGUUGGGGCCUUCCUCGCCCUCGGCCGGUCCACCACUCACCAGGGUCUGUCCCAGUAGAGCCCGAAGGCGGGGGCGCGGGAGGGCUUCUGGCUCGGGCGAAGAGGGCUUGAGGGCUCAGUCGGGAUGCUGUGAUCGCACGCGGUAAACCUCCAGUAGAUCAAGAAGCUGUACAAAGUGCCCGACUUCCCCUCGAAACGCCUGCCCAACUGGAGGACCAGAGGGUUGGAACAGCGCCGGCAGGGCUUGGAGGCUUACAUCCAGGGCAUCCUGUACCUGAACCAGGAGGUGCCCAAGGAGUUACUGGAAUUCCUGAGACUUCGGCACUUCCCCACAGACCCCAAGGCUAGCAACUGGGGCACCGUGAGGGAGUUCCUGCCUGGCGACAGCAGCUCCCAGCAGCACCAGCGGCCUGUCCUGAGCUUCCAUGUGGAUCCCUAUGUUUGCAACCCCUCCCCAGGUGAGGAGGUGCCUAGAUAUGGGGCUACAGGGCUGGGUUGUGGGCUUUGCAUUUCUCGGCUCCUGGGACCCUCAGGCAGCAUCUCCUUCCUGCUGCCCACCUCUGGAGCCACUACCUCCUGCUCCUGUCCCCUGGAGCCUGCUUUGUAGACACAAGGAAAACAAGUUUGGCUUCCCUGGUCUCCAUUUCUUCAGCAGCCUGACUUCUUUACCAAGCUGAUGUGAAAAGAAUGUGACCUGGGAAUGCGGAGGCUUCAUUUGGGGUGGACAGCUGCUGUCUGCUGCCUUGGCAGGGGCUCCUACUCCCAAGUGGGGGCUGAGCCCAUGAGCAGGAGCUCAAGGAGCUGCAGGUCUGAGGCCAGACCUGUUUAAUUCUAUCCCACAGAGUCGCUGCCCAACGUGGUGGUGAAUGGUGUGCUCCAGGGCCUCUACAGCUUCAGCAUCAGCCCAGAUAAAGCCCAGCCAAAGGCGGCCUGUCACCCUGCUCCUCUGCCACCGAUGCCCUGAUCAGUCCAGAGGCCUUUGGCUGCCUCCUAAGAAAGUCAUGUGCCUCUGUCCUAUGAACUCCAUAUAAGGCUGGGUCCUCCUUUGGCCUGGAACCAGGACUUAAUUA
rnacentral:sRNA from 1 species